rnacentral:tRNA from 1 species
GACCAUGUGGCUCAGUUGGUAGAGCAUGGUGUUUGCAACGCCAGGGUUGUGGGUUUGAUUCCCACUGGGGACC